rnacentral:misc_RNA from 1 species
AAGUCGUAACAAGGUCUCCGUUGGUGAACCAGCGGAGGGAUCAUUACAGAGUUGCAAAACUCCCAAUCAUUGUGAACCUACCUCACCGUUGCUUCGGCGGGUGGCCUGCUAACGCGGCGCCGCGCCGGCUCCACCUUCGGGGGUGCCCGGCAACCCGUCAGAGGACCGAACCUCUUAGUCAUCUUGGCCUCUCUGAGUAACUUAUACAAUAAGUCAAAACUUUCAACAACGGAUCUCUUGGUUCUG